CCUACUUCUGUAGGGUCUGUGAAACGUCUGAAAUUCUUAUCCUGUUUGCUGGACAAAACUAACUUGUGUGCCUGGAAAGCUGUGCAGAGGAAAAGGAUCUGGAGGUGUUAGCUGAUAGCUGAACACAAAGCAGUGGUGUGCCCAGGUGGCCAAGAAGUACUGCUGCCAGCGGAAGCGGGGAGGAAAUCAUCCCUCUGUACUCAGCUCUGUGAGGCUCCUUCCUGGUCUAUUGGCAGGCAGUGCUGCAGGCUGAGCCACCUUAGUGCUUGAGGAUUGGACACAAAGUCUUGAGGUUUUGUUGUGCUGCCUGCUGCAAGAGAAGAGGAGCCUGGCCUCAACUCACUGCCUUGCGGCGGAAAGAAGGAUGAAAAUUGAAUAUUGUCACAAGAGAAAAGCCUGUAUGUCUCCCUGAUGUGGAACUGUGGGCAAAACGAUCUGUAGGCCUAUGGAGCAAGAAGAAAGAUUCAUUUCUCUUUACACAUGACAUACAGAGGGAACAAGUUACAUGAGUAAGUAACAGAGCACAGUCUCCAGGAGAGGCACUGGGCCGCUUUUGCUUUUCCUCCAUGAAUUGCAACACUGAAAACCAUUUAAAAAUUUCCCAGUAUUCUUGUAUUACCAAUGGUGAAUCUUUGCAUCUCAUUUUCCACCUUGUGAUUGUCAGUAUUCUCUCUUGCUCUGUUUCCUACUGUGAAUACAAAACUUGCAUUUAGAAAUUACAGAAAGAAAAUGAUAGUUUGAUUUCUUCUGUUACGGUCUCUGAAUAGAUUGUGUAAGUGUAUGUGAACUCCUUUUUUUUUUAAAUAUUUUCCUACUGUGUGUCUUCAAGUAGGACAUGGUCAGAUA